rnacentral:rRNA from 1 species
UACGUAGGGUGCAAGCGUUAAUCGGAAUUACUGGGCGUAAAGCGUGCGCAGGCGGUUUUGUAAGACAGGUGUGAAAUCCCCGGGCUUAACCUGGGAACUGCACUUGUGACUGCAAGGCUGGAGUACGGCAGAGGGGGAUGGAAUUCCGCGUGUAGCAGUGAAAUGCGUAGAUAUGCGGAGGAACACCGAUGGCGAAGGCAAUCCCCUGGGCCUGUACUGACGCUCAUGCACGAAAGCGUGGGGAGCAAACAGG